rnacentral:rRNA from 1 species
UACAGAGGGUGCGAGCGUUGUCCGGAAUCACUGGGCGUAAAGGGCGCGUAGGCGGCCUACUAAGUCGGACGUGAAAUCCCUCGGCUCAACCGGGGAACUGCGUCCGAUACUGGUGGGCUUGAAUCCGGGAGAGGGAUGUGGAAUUCCAGGUGUAGCGGUGAAAUGCGUAGAUAUCUGGAGGAACACCGGUGGCGAAGGCGGCAUCCUGGACCGGUAUUGACGCUGAUGCGCGAAAGCCAGGGGAGCAAACGGGG